GAAGUCCAAGGUCGAGGGCCUGCAUCUGGUGAUGGCCUUCUUACUGGUGGGGACUCUGAAGCAUCCUGAGGUAGGCAGGGCAUCACAUGAAGUACACUUGAAAACAUAUCAAUAAAUAUGUUGACAUAUAAAUGGCCACAUUUUCGAGCAGGCUAAAUGUUAACAGAUAAGAAAUGAUUUGGCCAUAAAAUAGAUAAGCAGAUACAGAUGCUGAGAUUCAGUUGCUUUAUUUUUUUUUCAGGUUGGAGCAGAAGGAACAGCCAGGGAAAUGCAUCCAUUUAACCUUCCAGACUCUGGAGUCCACCUUCUUUGUUUUAAGUAAAUUUUAGAUGCAGAGGCCAUGAACUCAGCUUAUAAUCAGCCUUAUUGCUCAUUCACUUAUUCCAUAUUCAAGAUAUUUAAUGCUCAUAUUGCUCUGACAACAUGCCAAGGAUCUUCAGCUGACACCUCCCUGCAUACUCUACUGGGUGAUAUCUCUUCUGAUUUGUUUUUGUGACUGUUCUGAUUAGUUGGACUCAUGCUAUACAGGUUAUUCAAUAUUUUGAAUAACAUCCUUGACUUAUAAAAUUGUAAUGGGAUAAUAGUUUAUAGUAUCAACCAAGGUUUGUUUGUUUGUUUUCUUUUUCCCUCAAGAAUCUCAUUAUAUUCCUGAUACUUCCUCAAUCAAUGUGUAAGAGCAUUCCAGCCUAUGGUAUUAGUCAGGAUAGGCCAGACUGUGCUGCAAUAAUAAACAGCUGCAAAAAUCUCAAUGGUUAAAC
rnacentral:lncRNA from 10 species